UACGGAGGGUGCGAGCGUUGUCCGGAUUUAUUGGGUUUAAAGGGUGCGUAGGCGGCCGUUUAAGUCCGGGGUGAAAGCCCGCUGCUCAACAGCGGAACUGCCCUGGAUACUGGACGGCUUGAGUACAGACGAGGUUGGCGGAAUGGACUGAGUAGCGGUGAAAUGCAUAGAUACAGUCCAGAACCCCGAUUGCGAAGGCAGCUGACUAGGCUGUUACUGACGCUGAGGCACGAAAGCGUGGGGAGCGAACAGG
rnacentral:rRNA from 1 species